AGUGAACGCUGGCGGUGUGCUUAAUACAUGCAAGUCGAGCGGUAACACUUCGGGUGACGAGCGGCGGACGGCUGAGUAACGCGUAGGAACGUACCCCAAACUGAGGGAUAAGCACCAGAAAUGGUGUCUAAUACCGCAUAUGCUCUUAGGAGUAAAGCUUCGGCGGUUUGGGAACGGCCUGCGUAUGAUUAGCUUGUUGGUGAGGUAAUGGCUCACCAAGGCGACGAUCAUUAGCUGGUCUGAGAGGAUGAUCAGCCAGACUGGGACUGAGACACGGCCCAGACUCCUACGGGAGGCAGCAGUAGGGAAUCUUCCACAAUGGGCGAAAGCCUGAUGGAGCGACGCCGCGUGCAGGAUGACGGCCUUCGGGUUGUAAACUGCUUUUAUGUGGGAAGAUUAUGACGGUACCACAUGAAUAAGAGUUGGCUAACUCCGUG
rnacentral:rRNA from 1 species